rnacentral:rRNA from 1 species
AGGACGAACGCUGGCGGCGUGCUUAACACAUGCAAGUGGAGCGACGAACCAGGCUUCGGCCUGGGGCAGAGCCGCGAACGGGUGAGUAACACGUGGGCAACCUGCCCCUCACACUGGGAUAACCUCGGGAAACCGGGGCUAAUACCGGAUAUGACCUCGAGCGGCAUCUCUUGAGGUGGAAAGCUCCGACGGUGAGGGAUGGGCCCGCGGCCUAUCAGCUUGUUGGUGGGGUAAUGGCCUACCAAGGCGACGACGGGUAGCCGGCCUGAGAGGGCGACCGGCCACACUGGGACUGAGACACGGCCCAGACUCCUACGGGAGGCAGCAGUGGGGAAUAUUGCGCAAUGGGCGAAAGCCUGACGCAGCGACGCCGCGUGAGGGAUGAAGGCCUUCGGGUUGUAAACCUCUUUCAGCAGGGACGAAGCGAAAGUGACGGUACCUGCAGAAGAGCACCGGCUAACUACGCGCCAGCAGCCGCGGUAA